rnacentral:rRNA from 1 species
GACGAACGCUUGCGGCGUGCUUAACACAUGCAAGUCGAACGGAAAGGCCCUGCUUUUGUGGGGUGCUCGAGUGGCGAACGGGUGAGUAACACGUGAGUAACCUGCCCUUGACUUUGGGAUAACUUCAGGAAACUGGGGCUAAUACCGGAUAGGAGCUCCUGCUGCAUGGUGGGGGUUGGAAAGUUUCGGCGGUUGGGGAUGGACUCGCGGCUUAUCAGCUUGUUGGUGGGGUAGUGGCUUACCAAGGCUUUGACGGGUAGCCGGCCUGAGAGGGUGACCGGCCACAUUGGGACUGAGAUACGGCCCAGACUCCUACGGGAGGCAGCAGUGGGGAAUAUUGCACAAUGGGCGGAAGCCUGAUGCAGCAACGCCGCGUGCGGGAUGACGGCCUUCGGGUUGUAAACCGCUUUCGCCUGUGACGAAGCGUGAGUGACGGUAAUGGGUAAAGAAGCACCGGCUAACUACGUGCCAGCAGCCGCGGUGAUACGUAGGGUGCGAGCGUUGUCCGGAUUUAUUGGGCGUAAAGGGCUCGUAGGUGGUUGAUCGCGUCGGAAGUGUAAUCUCGGGGCUUAACCCUGAGCGUGCUUUCGAUACGGGUUGACUUGAGGAAGGUAGGGGAGAAUGGAAUUCCUGGUGGAGCGGUGGAAUGCGCAGAUAUCAGGAGGAACACCAGUGGCGAAGGCGGUUCUCUGGGCCUUUCCUGACGCUGAGGAGCGAAAGCGUGGGGAGCGAACAGGCUUAGAUACCCUGGUAGUCCACGCUGUAAACGGUGGGUACUAGGUGUGGGGUCCAUUCCACGGGUUCCGUGCCGUAGCUAACGCUUUAAGUACCCCGCCUGGGGAGUACGGCCGCAAGGCUAAAACUCAAAGGAAUUGACGGGGCCCCGCACAAGCGGCGGAGCAUGCGGAUUAAUUCGAUGCAACGCGUAGAACCUUACCUGGGUUUGACAUGGAUCGGGAGUGCUCAGAGAUGGGUGUGCCUCUUUUGGGGUCGGUUCACAGGUGGUGCAUGGCUGUCGUCAGCUCGUGUCGUGAGAUGUUGGGUUAAGUCCCGCAACGAGCGCAACCCUUGUUCACUGUUGCCAGCACGUUAUGGUGGGGACUCAGUGGAGACCGCCGGGGUCAACUCGGAGGAAGGUGGGGAUGACGUCAAGUCAUCAUGCCCCUUAUGUCCAGGGCUUCACGCAUGCUACAAUGGCUGGUACAGAGAGUGGCGAGCCUGUGAGGGUGAGCGAAUCUCGGAAAGCCGGUCUCAGUUCGGAUUGGGGUCUGCAACUCGACCUCAUGAAGUCGGAGUCGCUAGUAAUCGCAGAUCAGCAACGCUGCGGUGAAUACGUUCCCGGG